GACGAACGCUGGCGGCGUGCUUAACACAUGCAAGUCGAACGGAAAGGCCCUGCUUUUGUGGGGUGCUCGAGUGGCGAACGGGUGAGUAACACGUGAGUAACCUGCCCUUGACUUUGGGAUAACUUCAGGAAACUGGGGCUAAUACCGGAUAGGAGCUCCUGCUGCAUGGUGGGGGUUGGAAAGUUUCGGCGGUUGGGGAUGGACUCGCGGCUUAUCAGCUUGUUGGUGGGGUAGUGGCUUACCAAGGCUUUGACGGGUAGCCGGCCUGAGAGGGUGACCGGCCACAUUGGGACUGAGAUACGGCCCAGACUCCUACGGGAGGAAGCAGUGGGGAAUAUUGCACAAUGGGCGGAAGCCUGAUGCAGCAACGCCGCGUGCGGGAUGACGGCCUUCGGGUUGUAAACCGCUUUCGCCUGUAACGAAGCGUGAGUGACGGUAAUGGGUAAAGAAGCACCGGCUAACUACGU
rnacentral:rRNA from 1 species